rnacentral:lncRNA from 1 species
AUGUUAUUUCAAAAAAGACAACCAUCUCCAAAAAUGAGAAAAAAAAAAAAAAAGAAUAAUUGCAAACAGAUAAGCCAACAGAAGACAUACCUACAGCUAAUGCGUGGCAUACUUUUCCCCAGAUCAUCUCUGUCUCAUGCACUGACCUGGAGUUCUGAUGUUCAGGGCAACACAAUGCAUCAGCUAACUGUGAUUUCUGGAGCUCUUCUUCAAAACCAAGCCUAGACUAGUUUUCAGUUUUGAAGGAGUUUUCACACCUAGUACCAGAAGCAUCUUAGGAAAAUCAAGGGUAAGUAAUAGCAUUUUAUUCAUUGUGAGACUACACCUUGCUUGGAGUGUGUGAAGCCCAUGACUGUGGUUCUUCUUUGUGUAGUCAGUUAACUGAGAUUAGCUUUUGAAGGCAGUGGGACUGCUGAUUUUGCCUUGGGCUGGCUGUUAGAUCAGGACUGGUUCCUGAAUGCUGUUAGUCUCCACAUCUGAAUCAAAACUGUAGUUGUAUUGUUGAGUUACCAGCGUCCUUUAAACUUGUACUUCAAAGUUGAUAUACUGACAGCAGUUUAAAACUGAAGUGUGGUUAUCCACAAGCUCUCUGAAAAUGACUGUCACUUUGAUUCCUCCUGUGACAGCAAAAAAUUGUUUUUUAUGAUCUGUAACACCAACCCUGUAGCUCAAAAAUCAGUCUUUUUAUUCAAAUGGAAAAUGUCGAUUUACCACAACAUAGAAAAUGGCAUUUUGCUAAAGAUAUCUUAUAGAACCAUUGAGCUGUGGCUUGUGGCCUUAAGAGUCUAGGCUUCCUUUUCCUCUAAAUAUACUACUCUGUUCUGCUUUCUUUGUGUCUGUCAUGUUGAGUAAGUAACAGGCAGCAGGCACAGGACCAGGACUCAUGUUCAUGUAUCUUGUAAAACAAAACAGGCAGCUCUUUGAAUUAUGAGACUGGAAUGCCAUCAGAGGCUUCUUCUGAAGCCAGAAACCUGGAAUGAAGUCUCAUGCGUAGGUACCAGAACCCUGAGAUAGAGUUGCAGCCACUAACUUAAAAUUUGCUCAGGCUUUUCUUUUUAAAUAUGAUACUUAUUAUUUUGGCACCUACGUGGUGCCAUCUGUUUAAAAAACAGCCUCAUCUUUCGUAUUUCUUGUUCCCCUGCCUAAGGUUCCUAGUGAGCCUUCCCCACGCUGCCCUCCUUCUCUCCCCCUUCUUUGCUGCCCU